rnacentral:rRNA from 1 species
AGACGUCUACAUUAGAUACCCGUGUAGUCCCAGCCGUAAACUAUGCGCGUUAGGUGUAUCGGUGACCACGAGUUACCGAGGUGCCGAAGGGAAACCGUGAAACGUGCCGCCUGGGAAGUACGGUCGCAAGGCUGAAACUUAAAGGAAUUGGCGGGGAGCACCACAACAGGUGGAGCCUGCGGUUUAAUUGGACUCAACGCCGGGAAGCUCACCGGAUAGGACAGCGGAAUGAUUGCCGGGCUGAAAACUCUGCAUGACUAGCUG